rnacentral:rRNA from 1 species
GUCCACGCCGUAAACGAUGAUUACUAGGUGUGGGGACUGACCCCUUCCGUGCCGGAGUUAACACAAUAAGUAAUCCACCUGGGGAGUACGACCGCAAGGUUGAAACUCAAAGGAAUUGACGGGGCCCGCACAAGCGGUGGAGUAUGUGGUUUAAUUCGAUGCAACGCGAAGAACCUUACCUGGUCUUGACAUCCCGGAGACCCUUAGGAAACUAGGGGGUGCUUCCAUUAGGAAGAAUCUGGAGACAGGUGCUGCAUGGCUGUCGU